UCUGUUCCGCAAUAGCAAAUCCGGGGGUAGUUCCGUAUACGUUCCGAAAUUAGUAUUCCGGUAUAACUUCCGGGGCGUUCAACAUCAUCAGCAGCUAAGAUGAACGCAGCAUCCUCCACUAUGUUCACGAAGAAAAAAAGCACUGGAAAGAAAUAUUGUUGUGUCCCAGGAUGCAGUCAUACAUCUGACAAGAUAGGACCAGAUGGAACAAAAUUUAUACUUCACCGUAUUCCCAUGUCAGAAAAAAAAGCCCAUAUUAAAAAACUGUGGAUUCAGAGACUUAAAAAUUACUACUUAAACAUGGAGCAGAUAAGCUGAAUUAUUGGGAAGGAGAAUCCCGAUCCAUGGGUGAAAAAUCCUACCAACAAGAAGGAAAUUUAAAACCAGGAAGAAAGCGCUUUUUAAGACCAAUUGAUGAAUUCUUUAUGGUUAUGAUGCGAUUGCGACUAGGACUUCUGCAGGAACAUUUAGCUGAUAUUUUUAGAGUGUCUGAAUCCACUGUUUCUCGUAUAAUGAACACUUGGAUUAACUUUCUAUUUGAU